rnacentral:rRNA from 1 species
UGGGGAAUUUUGGACAAUGGGCGAAAGCCUGAUCCAGCAAUGCCGCGUGUGUGAAGAAGGCCUUCGGGUUGUAAAGCACUUUUGUCCGGAAAGAAAUCCUUGGCUCUAAUACAGUCGGGGGAUGACGGUACCGGAAGAAUAAGCACCGGCUAACUACGUGCCAGCAGCCGCGGUAAUACGUAGGGUGCAAGCGUUAAUCGGAAUUACUGGGCGUAAAGCGUGCGCAGGCGGUUUGCUAAGACCGAUGUGAAAUCCCCGGGCUCAACCUGGGAACUGCAUUGGUGACUGGCAGGCUAGAGUAUGGCAGAGGGGGGUAGAAUUCCACGUGUAGCAGUGAAAUGCGUAGAGAUGUGGAGGAAUACCGAUGGCGAAGGCAGCCCCCUGGGCCAAAUACUGACGCUCAUGCACGAAAAGCGUGGGGAGCAAAACAGGAUUAGAUACCCUGGUAGUCCACGCCCUAAAACGAUGUCAACUAGUUGUUGGGGAUUCAUUUCCUUAGUAACGUAGCUAACGCGUGAAGUUGACCGCCUGGGGAGUACGGUCGCAAGAUUAAAACUCAAAUGAA